rnacentral:pre_miRNA from 1 species
UCCAAGCGUGCCUCCCCAAUUCGAUCGAGGCGAGUUCAUACAUCGCCCAGACGAAGUUGGGGAAGCAUAUUCUGA